rnacentral:rRNA from 1 species
GACGUAGGAGGCGAGCGUUAUCCGGAUUCACUGGGCGUAAAGCGCAUGUAGGCGGUUGUGUAAGUCCGAUGUUAAAGCCCCCGGCUCAACCGGGGAGGGUGGUUGGAAACUGGCGGUCUUGAGGGCGAUAGAGGAAGGUGGAAUUCCUGGUGUAGCGGUGAAAUGCGUAGAUAUUGGGAGGAACACCAGUGGCGAAGGCGGCUACCUGGACCGGAACUGACGCUGAUGCGCGAAAGCGUGGGUAGCAAACGAGG